UUCUCAUUAUUAGGUUGAUCACCUCAUGGG
rnacentral:piRNA from 1 species